rnacentral:lncRNA from 1 species
CUCUCAGCCAGGAGUGAAUCCCAGAGAGGAGCAGCCACUGGUCUAAGGCCACACAGCCAACCGAGGCCCACCUGAGAAGGUCCAGGAAGAGGCAAUCCUUGAGCCACCAAAGAGGAUCUGAGGCCAAAGAAGAACAAGAACAAACCAAGAGAGUGUCAUCCACAGAAUCAGAUGAGGCAGAGUGCAGAGGGUCUGUCUGCACACUGGAGACCAAAGGAUUCAGUUGAAGGUCUGGAGCUCAUUGCAACGUCCCAUUUGAGUCCCUAUCAGGAGGCCCAUGGGUCUGCAGUGGAAGGCUGAAAAGCCUACACUGGAAGGCUGAAAGAUCUGCACUGGAAGCUGAAGAGUCUGCAAUGGAAGCCAGGAGACGACGUCCAAGGUGAAGGUGAAGACCGGAGUCCUCUACAGAAACAGAAGCAGACCCAUCCUUCUUCAUUUCCCCUUAAUACAUCCAGGUGACAAGCACUCUAGGAUGGGUCUUCCGCACCCUAAGUGGAGAAUUGCUGAGCCAAUUUAACUGAGCUUCUCUUACUCAAGCUGACACAGUCAGCCAUCACAGCCUCCAAGCGCCGACUGCAGCCAUCUUCUCCUGCUCCUCCUUGCCCUGCAUGCCCGGCUCUGCCCUCUCCUGUCCCCUGUGCAGCUCUCACUUCUAGGCACCUACUUGCCCAAUACACCUGUCUCUUUUACCCACAGCUGUACCUGAGGGUGGCCUGGAGACAGUGCCACUGACUCAAAGCCUGAAGCCACUGCAAAGUCAUACUCUCCAUCCCUCCAGCCCCCAGAUUUCCUGGCGACCCUUCUGGGGAGAGCAGCGCCGAGUGUUCCCAUUUUAUGGGUGAGGAGACUGAGGCAUGGAGAAGAGCCCAGAAGUGACUAACCAGGGAUUUGAAUUCACAUCUCACUUCAGGAGUCUGAGUCCUGGGCCACACGGAC